rnacentral:tRNA from 1 species
GUCUUCGUGGUGUAGUUGGUUAUCACGUGUGCUUCACACGCACAAGGUCUCCAGUUCGAACCUGGACGAAGACA